AAAGUGGGUCUAGAAAGAGGUGA
rnacentral:miRNA from 1 species